rnacentral:rRNA from 1 species
CCCUUAGAUGUUCUGGGCUGCACACGUGCUACACUGGCAGGUUCAGCGAGCUUCAUGCCCUGAUCUGAAAGGACUGGGAAAUCUUUUCAAAACCUGCCGUGCUUGGGAUAGAUGUUUGCAAUUAUUCAUCUUCAACGAGGAUUGCCUUGUAAGCGCACGUCAUCAGCGUGCAUUGAAUACGACCCUGUAUUCUGUACACACCGCCCGUCGCUCCUACCGAUUGAAGUUUUCGGUGAGUUGACAGGAGGAUUUUUUUGAAACUGGUUCGCCAGUGGAUUUUAGAUCCAAAUGCCAACGAAUCGAUGGCUUUAGAGGAAGGAGAAGUCGUAACA